UUUCACGUAUGAAAUGAUAUUUAAUAUCGAUAUACUUUGUUCUGUUAUGGUAUUGUGGGUUCUUGGAUAGGUGAAUGACACUUUGGUUGUCACAGAAGAUUUGUAAAAUCAACUGUUUGAUUCCAAAGUCCUUCAUCAGUCCUUUGAGCCAUAGUCCCUAUUUUACAGCUUUUGAUAAUGCUAUGUAUUAUGCUUCUGUAGUUGAGAGAGCAACAAUAGAUUAUAGGGUUGCUUUCCAACUAAUUAGGUUAGGACCAUAGAGAAAUACAUAUCUGAAUCCACAUAACCUAUUAGUUCUAGCUCUGUCUCGGUGGCCCUUUGGUAGUUCAAUUUAGCAUUCUUUAACCAAUUUAGGUAUCUGAUUAUCCACUUAGUAGCUUUCCAGUGUCUUCUUCCAGAAUUAGCCAUAUACCUGUUGACUAGGCUAGCUGAAUAGGAUAAAUCAGGUCUGGUUGAGAUCAUUAGGUACAUCAACUUCCCACUGCUUGACUAUAAGGAAUAUUUUCCAUUUGUAGCUUAUGUUCUGUAUCAGUUUCACUAGGAAAAUUCACAGCUAAUAGCUUAAAAUGAUGUGCAAUAGGGAGAGUAAGAUGUCUAGCAUUAGUGAGGUUGAAUCUUCUUAUCACCUUUUCACAGUAGGAUGUUUGGUUUAUGAUUAGUAUAGAUCGGUCUCUAUCUCUAGUGAUUUCUAUACCUAAGAUCUUUUUUUAUUUCCCUAAGUCUUUCAUGUCAAAUUCUUUACUCAAAAGAAUUUUGACAUGGGCUAAGUUUUUUUUAGAGCUUCCAGCAAGGAGCAUAUCAUCCACAUAGAGUAGCAAGUAGACCUUGCCCUUGUAGGUUGUUGUGUUUAUAUGAACACACAUGUCAUAAGAACUUCUUUGAAAACCUAAACUAGCAAUAAAGUCAUCAAAUCUUUUAUACCAAUAUCUAGGAGAUUGUUUCAACCCAUAUUGACUUUUUUAGUAAACGGUAGAGGUCUUCCUUUCCUUGAACCUCAAAACCCUUAGGUUGAACCAUAUAAAUUGUUUCUUCUAGAUAGCCAUGGAGAAAAGCAGUUUUUACAUCAAGUUGAUCUAAUUCUAGAUUGUUUUGAGCAACUAGGGAUAGGAGAAGUCUAAUGGAAGUUUGUUUAACAACAGGGGAAAAAUUUCCAGAAUAGUCAAUACCCUCUCUUUGAGUGAAACUAUUUGCUACCAGUCUUGCCUUGUAUCUAGAGUUUUUUUGUAAAUCCUUCUUUGAGUUUGUAGAUCCACUUAGAUGCUAUUGGUUUGCAUCCUUUAGGUAGAGAGACUAGUGCCCAAAUAUCAUUCACAUUUAGUGAAUUUAUUUCUUCAGUCAUAGCUUCAAUCCAUUGUCUAGCAUUACUACCAUUCGCAGCUUCCUCAAAGGAACUUGGUUAUGAAUCAUUAGGAAUUACAGUAGCAUUUAGAACAAAACUUAUGUAGUUAGUUUCAGCAUACCUAGCUGGAGGAACAAUUACCCUUCUUUGUUUAUCUCUUGCUAGGGAAUAUUGGCUCAAGUCAGGUUGUUGUUCAAUUAUUUUAGCAUGUUCUUCACUUAGGUUCUGCACUUGUUCUUGUUCAGUCACUGUAGGUUCCUCAGUAAGUUGGACAUUGUUCCUUGUAUUCUCCACCUCAAUUUGAGUAGUAUAGGAUUCUGUGUCAUCUGAUUUCCCUUCAGUGCUGCUUUUCCCUAGCAUAAACAUCUCUUAUUCUCUUAAAAGAUCCUUACUGAUUAUAAACCUCUUGUUAGUAGGAUGCCAUAGCUUGAAACCCUUUACCCCUUAUGUGAAACCAACAAACAUACACUUAGCAGCUCUAGCUUUUAGCAUUUAGACUUGGUGGAUGUUUGGACCAUUUCUCCUCAGGAGUUAGUAGUCCUAAGGAGGUAUGAGGGCUUCUGUUCAGUGUCUAUACAUCAUAGGCAGCAGCUUCAACCCAGAACUUUUCUUCUAGAAUGGCAUCUGAUAAUAGGCACCUUACCGUUUCCAUUAUUGUUCUGUUUAGUCUUUCUGCAACUCCAUUUUGUUGAGAUGUGUAGGUUAGAGCCUUGUGUCUUGUAAUUCCACUUUUUCUGCAAAAACCAUUAAACACCUCUCCACAAAACUCCAAAUCAUUAUCAGUUCUAAGAUAUUUAAUUUCUUUAUUGGUUUAUUUUUCUAUCAUUAAUUUCCAUUCUUUAAAUUUUUCAAAAGUUUGAUCUUUAGUUUUUAAAAAUAAAUCCAACUUUUUUUUUUUGAAAUAUCAUCAAUAAAGGAUAGAAAGUACCUUGAGCCACUUAGGCUUGGAGUGGAUGUUGGACCCCGGCCCAUAGCUCCGAGUGUACGUAAUCUAGAAUUCUUUUAGUUUUGUGUUGAGCUUUAGUAAAACUUUGCUUUCUUGCUUUGCCUAGAACACAAUGUUCACAUAAAGAUAGUUUGUUGCACAUGUAUUGAGGCAAAAUGCCUUGUUUAGUUAGAGCCUCACAUCCCUUCUGACUAAUAUGGGACAAUCUUUUAUGCCAAAGAUUAGCUUCUGUUGGGUUUAGAGAUAGAACUGUAUUUGCCUCCUCUAUCAUUUCUACUCCUUUUAUUAUGAACAAAUCAUUUACCUUUUCCCCAACCAAGGCUAACUUAGAUCCCAUAAAGACUCGAAAAACUCCACCUUUCCCUUUGUAUUCACACCCUAGAGAGUCUAGCAUUCCUAGGGAGAUUAAAUUUCUUUUGAGGUGAGGAACAUGUCUUACAUUUCUAAGGAGUUUUACAGUCUCAUCUUUUAAUUUCAUGGUAACUAAUCCAAUUCCAGCAAUGUUACAUACAUUAUUAUUUCCCAUGAACACAUAUUCUCCAUUGAUUUCCCUAUAGGUAUUAAACCAUGUUCUAAAAGGUGUCAUAUGGUAGGUGCAUCCAGAGUCUAGAACCCAAUCAUGUUUUCCUAAGGAGUUUACAUGGUUGGCUUGAUCUAAGGUUGAUGUCAAGGCAUCAGUGUAGGUAAAAGAACUAUCUACUAUGGAGGCUUCCGGUUGUUUCCUUUUGAAUCUUUUUCUUUUUCUUGAUUCUUUCUUUUAAGAAAAAAAACACUCUUGACUCGUGUGACUCUUCUUCUUACAGUAUUUGAAUUUCUUUUUCUAUUUAGCUUUCUUAUCUUCAUUAGAAAAAGAUUUGUUACUGUUUUUACCUUAACUAUUUUGGGGUUUACCUUUAAUAAACAAACCACCACUUUGUUUUUCCUUGUGUGAUGAUUGUAUUUCCAAUUCUCUGGUUUUGAGGGCCGAUAGUAUGACAUCUGUUUUGAUUGAUUUUCUUCCAUAUUUUAAGGCAUUUUUCACUUCUUUGUAAGCCUCGGGUAAAGAAUUUAGGAGUACAAAUGCCUCAUUUUCAUCACUGAGCUUGACUUUAAGGCUUUUAAAGUCAUAAACUACUUUCUUGAACUCAUCUAAGUUUUCUAUUAGGUUUUUGGAAGAACCUAUUUUAUAUGUAAAGAAUUUUUCUCUUAGAUACAUCUUGUUUGGAAGGUCUUUGGUGGCAUAGAGACUUUCUAGCUUCUUCCAAACUUUGUUUGCUGUUUAUUCUUCUAGUACUUGCCUGAUAAUAUUGUCGCCAAGGUUUAGUAUUAGUGUCCAUAGACAUUUAAUUCCAUUUCUUCUUUUUGUACUGUUGUGAGGGUUGUUGGAAGUUCUGGAGGAUCUAAAAGGGCUUUAUGAGACUUUUGCUGUCCAAGCAAGGCUUUGAUCUUUGCUUUCCAUAAUGUAAAGUCUCCCUUUUCAUCGAACUUCUCGAUUUCUACUCUUGCUAUGGCCAUUUUUAGAAAGCUUGGAGGAGAAGGAGAUACAUUGAGAGAUGUAGAACCUUACACUUAUAUGGAGGUUGGAAUUUGUCCCUCCAUGAUGGGAAAGAGAUAAUUGAAAAAUACAGGAAAAGAAGAGAAUGAAAAAUGCACAAAACAGUAUCAAGAUGAGGGAGAAAGGAAGAGAUGAUGCACUGUUUUUACGUGGUUCGGCCAAUUGAAGCCUACGUCCACGGGGAAGGAUCCUUUCUUUUAUUAUUCAAGAUGAGUAUACAAAAGAUCUCUCUAUUUUUCUCUCUUCUUUUCUUGUAGAUGAAAGUGUAUGUGUAAAGAAAACUAAUUUGUUAGUAAUACACCUUUAUAUUUAUAGGUGUUUUACAAGGACAAAGUUGUUAGAGAAAAUAUGUAAAAUAUAUGUGUUGGAAUUCAUUUAUUUUAACAUUGCUUGUUUCGAAGUCAAUUUCAGUUGAGUAAAGAAAUGGCAGGUAGCACUGUUGUCAGUCUUCACAACAAAAGUAGAUCCCAGUAAAUACUAUCUCCAAGCCCUCAAACAAUGAGAACACAACCUAGAGCAUAAUCACACACAUCAGUCUCAACUUCAAAAGGUUGGGUCACAUUAGUGAUUCCAAGAACUGGCUCCUCAAUCAUGGUUUGCUUCAAACCAUGGAAGACGACUUGGCAUUUGGAAGUCCAACCCCGUGGACUGUUCUUUUUCAACAACUCAGUCAGUGGACUUUCUCUUUUGGAGAAUCCUUAUAUGAAUUGCCUGUAAUAAUUAGCUAAUCCAAGAAAUGAGCGCAAGUCUGUGAUUGACUUUGGUAUUCCCCAAUCACGUAUUGCAACAAUCUUUCCCUUCUACGAUACCAAUUCAACGACAUUCUACUACAUGACUCAAAAAGUUCAUCCGUUGUUGCGCAAAUGAGCUUUUUUCUCUCUUGACAUAUAACUAGUUUUCCUUUAGUUUAUAAAAAACCCAUUGUAGGUGGUCCUUGUAUUCUUCUAUUUUGGAGCUAUAGACCACUAUAUCGAUCCACGUUCUUCUAUUUGAGCAUGCGACCAUAGGCAAACAAUUCCCUGAACAAGCAUACUCGUUACACUGUUUAGGGUUGCGAUGUUGGGGUUUCUCCCUAACAACACCCUAUUUUUCCUAAUUGCGUUGUUGGUGUUGGGGCACUGCAAGGCAAAAGCCUAUUAGCUUUUUUCAGUCA